CUAUUUUUUUUAGCAACGCUCGCCAACAGAAGCAAUUAGUUUCUUUGACACGUGUUACUUAUUUUCAACUGCAGACGAUUCUCCUGACUACAAAUUACGCAAGAGGCACAAAAAUAUUUAAACUGCUCGAGCACUUGAUUUGCUGUCAGAGCUGUCCUUCAAAAUUAUAAUCUACACUUGUGCUAGACAUUUGAUUAAGCUUGAGGAGAAGACAUGGCAAGACACAAACCUAAAAGAGAAGGAAAAAAGAGUCUGCUAUACUGCUAUACUAUAUACACUGCUUUGAUCCACACACCACGAAAACACCCACCUCAAAACUCAUCUCUGAUCAUGAUAUUUGUAACCUGCACGAUCCUUUCAACCUUUUUCGAUGUGGUUCGUGUGUACUUGUGUAAUAAAAAAAAAAAAGGUAAAAGCAAGAGUUCCACCUGCGACAAAGAGGGGAGAAGAUAAAAGCAAGCGAUCCAGCAACCAGGAAGAGGUGAUAAGAUAAAGCAAGACAUCACACAACAGGAACAGGUAUCGAGGUAAAAACAAGAGAUUCAGCUAAAAAGGACAGGUAACGAGAAAGAUAAAGCAAGAAACCCAGUAAAGAGAAACAAGUGACAAGAAAGUUGAGAGCAAGAAAUCCACCUAACAGGAAAAGAUAACCUCAACCUCACCUUUACCUGGAAGAAAGAAUAAAGCGAGAAUACCAACAAGAACAUCGAUUCAGAAAUAAUUGUAAGGAAACUGUUGAAUAUGAAGUAAUAGAGAAGGAUAACAGCGAAAGAUCACGUCUCCGCUGUGAGGUGAUGAGGACCUUGUUUACGGCGCCACAAAUAUGAUUACGCUCGUGUUGUGUGCCCGGGUCGCCCCUCCUGGCUCGGUGAAAGGCUUCGAGUAUCAAUUUUGCCUCCCUCUCAUCGCGGUCCCAACACGCGGCUCCUCUUCUACUGUCGUCUUGCAGUGAGAGACUUUUAGUGCUGUUUGUGAAGGGGGGAGGAAUCGGGGGAGCCAGGGAAAGGUUACUGUUUACAAUGACACAUCAGAAUAGAAUUUGGCUUGUACUUUCAUCUUUCAGUGCCAAGUAUGUUCUUGUUGUUGAUGAUGGUGGUGGUGAUGGUGGUGGUGGUGGUGGUGGUGUUGCUGGUACAAAUACAUUUUUCUUUCUCUGUAUACUGAGUGGUCUUUCUUCCCUUUUCAGCUGAAGAGAACGGUGGGUCUUUACGUCAGGGAGAAGAAAGUCCGUCCUUCACUGUGUUGUCCCCCACGAUGACUGCCAUUCCCUUCUUUGACAUCAUAAGAUUUCUCAAGAUGUGACAGACUUGGACACACACACACACACACACACACACACACACACACACACACACACACACACACUGUGGUGUCUAUUAAAUGGUCCAGCCUUCCAUACAUUGCAGAGCGUUAAAUCGGUUAGUUAAAGCGGAGGUGGAUAUGUGACAUGUGUGAAACGAAAUAGCUCGUUUGCUAAGAAACUGCCCUUUUAAAAGGAUGCAGUAUCUGACUCAAGCAAUCACCAUAUUCCUGUGAAGCACACAAAAGCAGUUUAGCAAGAUGUACUACUUCUCGUGAAUUUACUUUUCGAUCACUACAUACUUGCUAUUUAAAGACCUGAACAACCAUACGACCUAAACAAGAUAACUGGUCUUCACACGCACUUGAGCUCGCCGUUUCUACUGGGCAGGGAGAGGCGGGAGCAUAGUCACUUGGUACUGGAGCGGAAGGUAAUCAGGUCGCAUUGGCCUCAGGUCAGAUGAUCCUCAAGGCAGAUUGGCCUGAGUGUAAAUAAGCCGCAGGACGUUUGGUUCUCGAAACACUUGGUACUCAAACCACUUGGUCUCUAAAAUGUCUCAGAGUGAUUGUAAUUAGGGAAAAGUGUACCAAGUGGGAGUCAAACGGUUAAACAUCAAUUAUACAGCUUUGUGACUCGUCUCUGAUCGCCGCCACACACACACACACACACACAGACACACACACACACACUCAGGGCGGUGAAGCGGGUGGAAGUGCAUUGUUAUUACCUCCAUACACCACGGUAUCCUUAGCGCCCCUCCAAGCCUUGCCCCUAGACUCGGGUGUGUAGGAGGAAGAGGAGGAGGAGGGGCAAGGAGGAGUAUGGGUACCAUUCGCCCCAGUACCAAGUGACUGCAAACCAAGAGAGGUGAGCCUGGCAGUAAUGGUUGCCAUAGCUAAACUUCUACUGUUUCUCCUCGCACUGUAAAUUUAGGAACAUAUUUCUGGCAGGCGUCCACGGUGCCACCAAGGAAGCCAAGGGUGCUGCCUGGAUGGGUUCAUCACUUUGGCUGGCAUGCCUGUCACCUCUCCAAGGUUGCCACGAAAAGUAAAACGUGUUUUACGGAUCAUCGUUACAUUCCAGCGCCUCUUAAUUGCCUACGAAAUGUUUACUUAACCUCUACACGCCAAGAAAUGAGACUUCAGUUCAUAAUCGUACAUGAGGAGAAUAAUAUUUUGAAAUCCGCGCCAUGACGUCACAGCAGAGUCAUCCUGCGCGCGCAGGCCAGUGUGUGCGGCGGUAUGUUUGUUUUGUGUGUCGUGUCAAUGGUAUGUGAAUUUCUGACGUUUUAUUAGUUAUUUUCCCAACCAUGGUGCGUGACAUGGUGGCGGGAGGUGUAAUGGUGUACAGCGCGAUGGUGAGACAUGGUGGUAAUGGUGCAGAGCGAGGAAAUGCUGAAAUUACUGGUGGUGGCAGGGAGGUGUAGGCGUGGCGGCAGGACGGUGUAGUGAUGAUGACUUCCUUGGCAAGUACGAACCACUCCUGCCCGGCUAUCAGCGACGCCGUCUGAGUGCCUCGGCCGCGGACAGCCCCGUGAUGGUCAGCCCUCCAAGUGUGCUCGUCUUAGCAAGGCCUUCCUCUCCCAGACGACCAAAACGCAGAGGGAGGUGUUCCACGCGCCCUUCUUCACCACCCGGUUCUGUACGGCCUGGACGGGGCUCUUCUGCCCGCUCUGCCUCGCCUGCCUCUCCUGCUUCCGGAGGGACAAGGACUCACUCAAGGUCUCCCUCAAAACCAUCGCACAGAACUUCAGGGACCGCGGCGUCACUUUCAACCUCGUCGAGAAGACACACACCUGGGCGUCUCCAGGAUCCUUCUGACACACAGGGAGGUGUAUCACUCCGCCAGCAGCAAACUUGACGUCAUGGGCCAGGGCAUGCAGCGGCGUGCAGUGCGUGGGUAUGGUGACUGUGUGGCCUCUGAUGUAGAGGUGUGUGAGCUGCUGGACGAGAGAAGAGCAAACGAAAAGUAAACAUGGGAUUGCUGCCGCCUCAGGACACUAGGAGCAUUGCGGAAGCGCUGAGGAAGACAUCACAACCCUUGACACAGCGAACACAACUCAGUACUGAGGCUGGCACUGGCUUCUCCCAACAUCUCACGUGGUCAUUGCAACAAAAGGAGGUGAUCUUGCAACCUCAGGGAAAACAACAUGCAGCAAGUGAGUUGGAAUGGCUAGAACCAGAGGAUGGGGGUGUGCGUCCAGGGAGUUGAGGAGUGCCACUGCUUCAACUGAUGUGUGGGACCCUGAGGCAGAGGGUCCACCAGGUGUGUGUGUGUGUGUGUGUGUGUGUGUGUGUGUGUGUGUGUGAGAAUGUUUCCCUACUUGUGGUGAAUGGUAAGGAAAAAGAGUGUGUGGUGGUGUGUGGUGUGGCCUUGCUUGUGGCAGAUGCAUUGGGGAGUGUGUGGUGGUGUGUGGUGUGGCCUUGCUUGUGGCAGAUGCAUUGGGGAGUGUGUGGUGGUGUGUGGUGUGGCCUUGCUUGUGGCAGAUGCAUUGGGGAGUGUGUGGUGGUGUGUGGUGUGGCCUUGCUUGUGGCAGAUGCAUUGGGGAGUGUGUGGUGGUGUGUGGUGUGGCCUUGCUUGUGGCAGAUGCAUUGGGGAGUGUGUGGUGGUGUGUGGUGCAUGACCCUCACUUCUGGUUGAUGCCCUGCAGAGGAAAUAUAAUCAGCAUAGUAUUUAUUGCUGUGUGUGUGUGUGUGUGUGUGUGUGUGUGUGUGUGUGUGUGUGUGUGCGUGUGUGCUUGCGUGAGUGCGUGUGCGUGCUUGGGCGUGAAAGUGUGUGUGCAUGGGCGUGACAGUGCAUGUGCGUGCGUGGGCGUGAGAGUGUAUGUGCGUGCGUGGGCGUGAAAGUGCGUGGGUGUGAGACUGCGUGUGUGUGAGAGUGCGUGAGUGCGUGUGCGUGCGUGGGCGUGAGAGUGCGUGGGCGUGCGUGUGCGUGAGGGUGCGUGUGCGUGUGCGUGAGAGUGCGUGGGCGUAGGUGGGCGUGAGAGUGCGAGGGCGUGCGUGGGCGUGAGAGUGCGUGUGUGUGAGAGUGCGUGGGCGUAUUGUUGAAUUAGUAGCGGGUACAUAAGAACAUUUGA